rnacentral:rRNA from 1 species
UUUUUACGGGAGGCAGCAGUGGGGAAUCUUCCGCAAUGGGCGCAAGCCUGACGGAGCAACGCCGCGUGAGUGAAGAAGGUCUUCGGAUCGUAAAGCUCUGUUGAUGGGGACGAACGUGCUGGAGGUGAAUAAUCUCGAGUAAUGACGGUACCUAUCGAGGAAGCCACGGCUAACUACGUGCCAGCAGCCGCGGUAAUAAAA